CAGGUAGGAAUACCCGCUGAACUUAAGCAUAUCNAUAAGCGGAGGAAAAGAAACCAACCGGGAUUACCUCAGUAACGGCGAGUGAAGCGGUAACAGCUCAAAUUUGAAAUCUGGCUCCUUUGGAGUCCGAGUUGUAAUUUGUAGAAGAUGCUUUGGGUUAUGGGUUCGGCCUAAGUUCCUUGGAACAGGACGUCAUAGAGGGUGAGAAUCCCGUAUGUGGCCGAGGCCCGCGCCUGUGUAAAGCUCUUUCAACGAGUCGAGUUGUUUGGGAAUGCAGCUCAAAAUGGGUGGUAAAUUUCAUCUAAAGCUAAAUAUGGGCCAGAGACCGAUAGCGCACAAGUAGAGUGAUCGAAAGAUGAAAAGCACUUUGGAAAGAGAGUUAAACAGUACGUGAAAUUGUUGAAAGGGAAGCGCUUGCACCCAGACUUGGGCGCUGCUGAUCACCUUGCGUUCUCCGCGAGUGCACUCGACAGCGCACAGGCCAGCAUCGGUUCGGGUGGCUGGAUAAAGGCCGUA
rnacentral:rRNA from 1 species